rfam:Fonticula alba strain ATCC 38817 mitochondrial scaffold supercont2.211, whole genome shotgun sequence.
GGGCUUAUAGUUUAGUGGUAAAACGUUCCACUCAUGAUGGAUACUACGUGGGUUCGAUUCCUACUAAGCCCA